GGGUUGUGAGGUUAAGCGACUAAGCGUACACGGUGGAUGCCCUGGCAGUCAGAGGCGAUGAAGGACGUGCUAAUCUGCGAAAAGCGUCGGUAAGGUGAUAUGAACCGUUAUAACCGGCGAUGUCCGAAUGGGGAAACCCAGUGCAAUUCGUUGCACUAUCGUUAACUGAAUACAUAGGUUAACGAGGCGAACCGGGGGAACUGAAACAUCUAAGUACCCCGAGGAAAAGAAAUCAACCGAGAUUCCCCCAGUAGCGGCGAGCGAACGGGGAGCAGCCCAGAGUCUGAAUCAGCUUGUGUGUUAGUGGAACGGUCUGGAAAGUCCGACGGUACAGGGUGAUAGUCCCGUACACCAAAAUGCACAGGUUGUGAACUCGAAGAGUAGGGCGGGACACGUGGUAUCCUGUCUGAAUAUGGGGGGACCAUCCUCCAAGGCUAAAUACUCCUGACUGACCGAUAGUGAACCAGUACCGUGAGGGAAAGGCGAAAAGAACCCCGGCGAGGGGAGUGAAAAAGAACCUGAAACCGUGUACGUACAAGCAGUGGGAGCACCUUCGGGUGUGACUGCGUACCUUUUGUAUAAUGGGUCAGCGACUUAUAUUCUGUAGCAAGGUUAACCGUAUAGGGGAGCCGCAGGGAAACCGAGUCUUAACUGGGCGUUAAGUUGCAGGGUAUAGACCCGAAACCCGGUGAUCUAGCCAUGGGCAGGUUGAAGGUUGGGUAACACUAACUGGAGGACCGAACCGACUAAUGUUGAAAAAUUAGCGGAUGACUUGUGGCUGGGGGUGAAAGGCCAAUCAAACCGGGAGAUAGCUGGUUCUCCCCGAAAGCUAUUUAGGUAGCGCCUCGUGAACUCAUCUUCGGGGGUAGAGCACUGUUUCGGCUAGGGGGUCAUCCCGACUUACCAACCCGAUGCAAACUACGAAUACCGAAGAAUGUUAUCACGGGAGACACACGGCGGGUGCUAACGUCCGUCGUGAAGAGGGAAACAACCCAGACCGCCAGCUAAGGUCCCAAAGUCAUGGUUAAGUGGGAAACGAUGUGGGAAGGCACAGACAGCCAGGAUGUUGGCUUAGAAGCAGCCAUCAUUUAAAGAAAGCGUAAUAGCUCACUGGUCGAGUCGGCCUGCGCGGAAGAUGUAACGGGGCUAAACCAUGCACCGAAGCUGCGGCAGCGACACUAUGUGUUGUUGGGUAGGGGAGCGUUCUGUAAGCCUGCGAAGGUGUGCUGUGAGGCAUGCUGGAGGUAUCAGAAGUGCGAAUGCUGACAUAAGUAACGAUAAAGCGGGUGAAAAGCCCGCUCGCCGGAAGACCAAGGGUUCCUGUCCAACGUUAAUCGGGGCAGGGUGAGUCGACCCCUAAGGCGAGGCCGAAAGGCGUAGUCGAUGGGAAACAGGUUAAUAUUCCUGUACUUGGUGUUACUGCGAAGGGGGGACGGAGAAGGCUAUGUUAGCCGGGCGACGGUUGUCCCGGUUUAAGCAUGUAGGCUGGUUAUCCAGGCAAAUCCGGAUAAUCAAGGCUGAGGUGUGAUGACGAGGCACUACGGUGCUGAAGUAACAAAUGCCCUGCUUCCAGGAAAAGCCUCUAAGCAUCAGGUAACAUUAAAUCGUACCCCAAACCGACACAGGUGGUCAGGUAGAGAAUACCAAGGCGCUUGAGAGAACUCGGGUGAAGGAACUAGGCAAAAUGGUGCCGUAACUUCGGGAGAAGGCACGCUGGUGUGUAGGUGAAGUCCCUGCGGAUGGAGCUGAGACCAGUCGAAGAUACCAGCUGGCUGCAACUGUUUAUUAAAAACACAGCACUGUGCAAACACGAAAGUGGACGUAUACGGUGUGACGCCUGCCCGGUGCCGGAAGGUUAAUUGAUGGGGUUAUCCGUAAGGAGAAGCUCUUGAUCGAAGCCCCGGUAAACGGCGGCCGUAACUAUAACGGUCCUAAGGUAGCGAAAUUCCUUGUCGGGUAAGUUCCGACCUGCACGAAUGGCGUAAUGAUGGCCAGGCUGUCUCCACCCGAGACUCAGUGAAAUUGAACUCGCUGUGAAGAUGCAGUGUACCCGCGGCAAGACGGAAAGACCCCGUGAACCUUUACUAUAGCUUGACACUGAACAUUGAGCCUUGAUGUGUAGGAUAGGUGGGAGGCUUUGAAGCGUGGACGCCAGUCUGCGUGGAGCCAACCUUGAAAUACCACCCUUUAAUGUUUGAUGUUCUAACGUUGGCCCCUGACCGGGGUUGCGGACAGUGUCUGGUGGGUAGUUUGACUGGGGCGGUCUCCUCCCAAAGCGUAACGGAGGAGCACGAAGGUUAGCUAAUCCUGGUCGGACAUCAGGAGGUUAGUGCAAUGGCAUAAGCUAGCUUGACUGCGAGCGUGACGGCGCGAGCAGGUGCGAAAGCAGGUCAUAGUGAUCCGGUGGUUCUGAAUGGAAGGGCCAUCGCUCAACGGAUAAAAGGUACUCCGGGGAUAACAGGCUGAUACCGCCCAAGAGUUCAUAUCGACGGCGGUGUUUGGCACCUCGAUGUCGGCUCAUCACAUCCUGGGGCUGAAGUAGGUCCCAAGGGUAUGGCUGUUCGCCAUUUAAAGUGGUACGCGAGCUGGGUUUAGAACGUCGUGAGACAGUUCGGUCCCUAUCUGCCGUGGGCGCUGGAGAAUUGAGGGGGGCUGCUCCUAGUACGAGAGGACCGGAGUGGACGCAUCACUGGUGUUCGGGUUGUCAUGCCAAUGGCACUGCCCGGUAGCUAAAUGCGGAAGAGAUAAGUGCUGAAAGCAUCUAAGCACGAAACUUGCCCCGAGAUGAGUUCUCCCUGAGACUUUAAGUCUCCUGAAGGAACGUU
rnacentral:rRNA from 1 species